UACGUAGGGUGCAAGCGUUAAUCGGAAUUACUGGGCGUAAAGCGUGCGCAGGCGGCUAUGCAAGACAGAUGUAAAAUCCCCGGGCUCAACCUGGGAACUGCAUUUGUGACUGCAUGGCUAGAGUACGGUAGAGGGGGAUGGAAUUCCGCGUGUAGCAGUGAAAUGCGUAGAUAUGCGGAGGAACACCGAUGGCGAAGGCAAUCCCCUGGACCUGUACUGACGCUCAUGCACGAAAGCGUGGGGAGCAAACAGG
rnacentral:rRNA from 1 species